UCCAAGCUUGUUUGCAUUGUCUAGUAUUUCCAUCUUUAGCUGCUGAAUCCCCUGACGCUUUGCCACCUGAGGGGCAGUAAGGUGUGAUGCAAGCCAGAGGCCACAAACAAACAGCCGCACAUGAAGAGCCCCGCGACAGGGGGGGAGAUAUGCACACAGAGCGAAACGCGACGCCGGAGAAAGCUACAGCACCCCCUCUUGUCCAGCAAUACAGAACCGAUGCCUCCUUAAGGUGUCUCUCCUUUACAUUAGGAAAUCUGUAGAUGAGCCAAUUCACAAAAGAACUUGAAAGGCGUUCUGUACAUAGUAUGCAUGUAUGUGUAAGGUAGGGUUACUUAAAGAUAUGGUAUUUACAAUUUCGGAGGAAUUCGGUUGAAAUGAAUUUAACAGGGUUUCAACAAAACGAGCUUUCUUUACAAACUGCGGGGACGUCUGUAAAGAGAAAUGUGUCUUGUACUGGAUAUCGAUGAAUAGUGCAUCUAAGCUGUGAUGGGUUAAAGGAUUAGUUCACUUUUAAAAAAACUUUUGCUGAUAAUUUACUCACCCCCCAUGUCAUCCAAGAUGUCCAUGUCUUUCUUUCUUCAGUCGAAAAGAAAUUAAUGUUUUUGAUGAAAACA